UACAGAGGUGGCAAGCGUUGUUCGGAAUUACUGGGCGUAAAGGGCGCGUAGGCGGUUCGAUAAGUCCCGUGUGAAAUCCCUCGGCUCAACUGAGGAACUGCACGGGAAACUGACGGGCUUGAGUUCGGGAGAGGGAAGCGGAAUUCCGGGUGUAGCGGUGAAAUGCGUAGAUAUCCGGAGGAACACCGGUGGCGAAGGCGGCUUCCUGGACCGACACUGACGAUGAGGCGCGAAAGCUAGGGGAGCAAACGGG
rnacentral:rRNA from 1 species